rnacentral:lncRNA from 1 species
CUAGCACAAACCUAUUCAUAGUCCUUAUUCUGCCCCAAAUACUCUUUCACUUGAGCCACACACACAGCCAACCUCAUCUGCUAUAGAUCUUUCCCAAGUAUUCCUAUUCCCUGUUUUCUCUCCCAGUCCCAAUUCCCUGCCCACCUGCACCAUCUCCCCAAUACCAAGCUUCCUCUUGGCAUUCCUCUCCAACCUUACUUCUAGGUCCCUAGGGUCCUACUCCCGUCUUACCCUCUGCUUCUUUGCUGCUGCUACUGACUUUUUGGUGGCCACUGCUGCUUCCCUGUAUGUCAGACCUGACCCCACUGUGAACUCUCUUGAGGCGCUUCCAUUCUGGGCUCCCCUUUCAGAAGAAAACCCUUGUCUCCUGGUGUGGGGCUGUAAAAAGCUCAAGUAUGAACUGCAUCCACCAAAAUUAUACAAAACAGAAGGCAGAAGACUCAGAGGUUUGCUUCUGUUUGCUCAGCUCCCUGUUUGUUGUCCACCUCAGAGAAGCUUGUCCAGUGGGCCACUUGUCACCCUGGAACAAGUGGUUCAAUUCUUGAGGCUCUACAGCUACCCCAGGUUUAGUUUGUCUCUAUUUUGCUGCUGGAUACUGGGCCUUGCAUCUAAGGUGCCGGUCCUCAUGACACAAUGUCUCAUCUUAGUUCACUUGUUACGUAGGUUGCUCAACAUUGUCUCUUGUAGGGCUCUCCACUUUGUGGAUGUUCUUUAUAGCCUGAGCUCCUCUACUUCAGCCUUAGUCUGCCUGUCCCCUGGGCAAAGCCACCCCUGGGACAGGAUAAGAGCCACACAGUCCCCUUGUCUUAAAGGGAAGGGAGUCUUCCUAACUGAAGGGCUUUUUCUUUCUCUUGAGAAAAGGACUCUUGGAGCAACCUUUGCCUACCAGUUCAAUUCACACCAAUAGUGAAGACAGCAGUUGUUCAGCUGUGGAGCACAGACACAGAAGGGUUUUCCUUUUCUGAGUAUGACUAUAAAUGCCAUAAUUUUCUGGGCUUUACCACUCA